rnacentral:rRNA from 1 species
UGGGGAAUAUUGGGCAAUGGGCGCAAGCCUGACCCAGCAACGCCGCGUGAAGGAAGAAGGCUUUCGGGUUGUAAACUUCUUUUGACAGGGAAGACGCACGAAGACGGUACCUCGUCGAACUAAGCCCACGGCUAACUACGUGCC